rnacentral:lncRNA from 1 species
AUAUUCUCAUUUAAUAUUUUUACCAUUGGAUUAGCACAAACAACUAGUUCUUGAGCAUCUAAAGUAGACCCUUGGUGAGGGUUGGAUGAAAAAUUAAAAAAACUUGCUCGCUCUUUUUUUCUAAGUUCUUCUAUUCACUCCUAAAGUCUCUCCUACCAAAUUCUUUCUCGAUCUAUUUUUUUACUUUUUCAUUAUUUUUAACUACUAGAUUGAAACUCUGUCAUCCUCUCCAC